CUGUCUCAAAAAUAAAUAAACGUUAAAAAAAAAUUAAAAUAUAAGGGACUUUACCCAUACUUAGUGGGAUUAUACUGUACUUUGUGACCAUAUUUGACUUUUUGAGGGCUUAAACUCUUUAGUUUAAGGAUAAAAUUUGCCAGAUCCAUCUCCACGUAAAAUAUUACCAUUUUUAUUGUUUGUUCAAAUAAUUUAACAGAAUUCUAGUUAUAGCUUGGAGCAAGUAACUUCACGACGCAAGAGAAAAAUAAAAAUUAUAACUUUUUAAUCUUGGUUAUCUUGCAGACAUAUCUUAUUACUCUAAAGCAGAGAGUCUUGUGAAUUAUCCCAUGUGUUGACAAGCACUUUUCCCAUUCUGCUAAAGUGAUUAGUUAAGAGUUGAACAUUGAUUAAUUUAUUUAUAUUUCUUUUUAUUUUUUACUUAUGUAUUUUAUUGUUUCAAGUUUUUAUUUAAAUUCUAGUUAGUUAACAUAUAGUGUAAUAUUAAUUUCAGGAGUAGAAUUUAGUGAUUCAUCACUUACAUGUAACACCCAGUGCUCAUCACAAGUGCCCUCCUAAUACACAUAACCUGAGCCCAUCCCUUGCCCAUUUCCCCUCCAGCAACCCUCCGUUGAACAUUAAUUUAUUUAACCAGGUGUUUUACUAAUGUCUUUAAGAAAAUGAGUUGCCAGUGAGCGUUACUAGUUUGAUUUUGCACAUACAUUUCCACAUGCGUGCGCCCCCCCCCCGAUAUUUUAAAAAGUACAAUAGAAAUAUAUGACUGAGAGCUUUGACAAAAGGUACAUGGUGAAUACAAUGUAAGUAAUAUAGGUAGAAAGAAAAUAAAUAAAAAACAGUACAAAUAAGAUAGAAAACACAAAAUACUUAGAAACAAAUCAGCAUAUAUACCAAAACUACAUGACAGUUAUCUUCCACCAACCUCAAAAUGCAAGUGGGUAGAGAUGAAGCAAUGAAAGCUGCAAGAUUAGCAUUUGUCGAGGGAAAGCGGAAACAAAACAGUGUGGUUUCUGAUGGCACAAGUACAGGCAGAUGCCCAGGUAAUAAUAUUUGGCAGGCAAAUCUAAGAAUAGAAGCUGACCCUUGAGAGGUGUUUUAUUUUUAUUUUUAUUUAUUUUUAUUAUUUUUCUUUAUUUUUGAGAUGCAGAGACAGAGUGCAGUGGGGGAGGGGCAGAGAGAGAGAGAGACACACACACACACAGAAUGUAAAGCAGGCUCCAGGCUCUGAGCUGUCAGCACGGAGCCCAAUGCACAGCCCAAACUCACGAACCUUGAGAUCAUGACCUAAGCUGAAGUCAGACGCUCAACCGACUGAGCCACCCAGGUGCCCCUCGAGAGGUGUUUUAUACCUGAAUUUAUGGGUGAAGUCAUUGAGUCCACUUCAAGAUCUGAAGAUACUGGGAAAGCCUAGGUUCUAUGAACUCUUGAAAUUCUAAGACUGAGCUACACAAUGAGAAGCUGCUGGGCACAGCCCCAAACUAAGCAAGGAAGUAAAAAAAAAAAAAAAAAAAAGGCAAAAAUAGAAUAUUUAAAUUAAAUGGAUCAUUGAGCAGAUAAGGUAGAUUUCAGAAGGCAAGAGGCUGUAUUUUUUUAUCCUUUUGGAAAACUAAAAAGAGGGGGUGGUAGUGUUUACUCCACAUACUGAACAGUAAAGAAAAUCUCUCUUCACUUAAAAAUGAGCAACAGGAAAGGAUUUUGGCUGAAUUACAUAGGGAGCUAUUUUAAGAAAUGAUAAAGCAUCAGAAUGAAAAUCAAAACAGAAAGAUGCACACCAAACAAGUAAGACAUGUAGUUUCAUAUUUAAUAGCAAACUAAAAAAAGGAAGUAUUGAAAUAACCUCAAAUCAUUUAAUUGGGAAAAGAGAGAUUCAUAAAGAGAGAUGACAGGACUGAUGAAAGAAUUAUUAUGACCCAGUAAUUAAACUACUAGGUAUUUAUCCAAAGGAUACAAAAAUGCUGAUUCUAAGGGACACAUGCACCCCAAUGUUUAUACCAGCACUAUCAACAAUAGCCAAAGUAUGGAAAGAGCCAAAUGUCCAUCCACUGAGGUGAUGAAAAAGAAUGAAAUCUUGCCAUUUGCAACAGUGUGGAUGGGACUGGAGUAUAUUACACUAAAUAAAAUAAGUCAGUCAGAAAAAGACAAAUAUCAUAUGAUUUCAUUCAUAUGUGGAAUUUAAGAAACAAAACAGAUUAACAUAGGGGAAGGGAAAGAAAGAAUAAGAUAAAAAGAGAGAGGGAGGCAAACCAUAAGAGACUCUUAAAGACAGAGAACAAACUGAGGGCUGCUGGAGAGGAGGUGGGUGGGGAUGGGCUAAAUGGGUGAUGGGUGUUAAGGAGGGCACUUGUUGGGAUAAGCACAGGGUGUUAUAUGUAAGUGAUGAAUCACUGGGUUCUACUCCUAAAACCAAUACUACACUGUACGUUAACUAACUUGAAUAUAAAAAAUAAGUAAAAGAAAAUGAAUUAUUAAUAAAAGUAAAAUGAAUUUUGGAAAUAAAGAAUAAAUUAAGAGAAACAAAAGAGGGGUGACUGGCCUUAGUUAAAUGUCCGACUCUAGGUUUCAGCUCAGGUCAUUAUCUCCACUGUUGUGGGAUUGAAUCCUGUAUCAGGUUCUGCUCUGAGUGUAGAGCCUGCUUAGGAUUCUCUCUCACCCUCUCUUUUUCUGUCCCCUGCCCUGCUUGUGCACACCCUCUCUCUCUCUCAAAAUAAAUGAACUUAAAAAUAGAGAAACAAAAGAAUAGAAUUUUAAAUAGAAUUGUGAAAUCACUAUGUUGUUCACCUCAAAUUAAUACAUUUUAUGUCAACUAUACCUUAAAGAAAUUUAAAAGGAGAAACAAAAGAGCAAUGAAAAGCAAAUAAUAAUUUCUUAAAUUUAAAUAUGAUUAGAAUUUGAAAGGAUGUGUAUAUAGAAUACAGGCAAAGAAAUCCACCAUAUAUACAGAAGGAGUUCUCAAAAAAGAAAACACAAGCAAAGGGGCAAAAUAAAAAGCCAUAAUGAAUAAAAUUUUCCUGGAACUAAAAACAUUCUUGAAACUCUUUAUAGAGGGUUGCCUGGGUGGUUCAAUUGGUUAAGCGUCCGACUCUUGGUUUUGGUGCAGGUCAUAAUCUCAUGGUUUUGUGAGUUUGAGCUCCACAUCUGGCUCUGGGCUGGCAGCAUGGAGUCUGCUUGGGAUUCUCUCUCCCUCACUCUCUGCCCCUUCCCUACUUGUGCUGUCUCUGUCUCUCUCAAAUAAAUAAAUAAACUUAAAAAAAAAAA